rnacentral:sRNA from 1 species
AGAAACUCUUGCUCUAAAGGUUUUCUCUGUCUUCUCUCUAGAUACUCUGAACUUGGAACCAUAGGAAGUUGAUUCCGGUGCUGCCUAAGUGUCUGCGGAGUAGGGGGUUUCGUUUCUACCGAACAAUUUCUUGUUUCGAUCGGUUAUGUCAAGUUUCGCUCUGUGUGGAGGGUACUGUUAGGGAACUCCAGUAGGAUAUACUGCUCAUCUUCAAGAUGAGAGCAAAUGUUGUUGAGGAAAUACCUCUAGAGCAAGAGCUGGAGGAGAAUGAUGUUGCUGCACAAUC